AAAAAAACAACAACUAAAGAAAAAUAAUCCUAAGGAAAAGCAAAGAUAAAAAUGUGUUUUUAAGAUUUAUUUUAAAUAUGUCCACAGUUUCUGCCUCCUUCAGGUUCUCUGGCAGGCUAUUCCACAGGCUAGGGUCAUAAUAACUAAAGGCUGUCUCUCCAUGCCUCUUGGUCCCCCUCAGGUUCUCUGGCAGGCUAUUCCACAGGCUGGGGUCAUAAUAACUAAAGGCUGUCUCUCCAUGCCUCUUGGUCCCCCUCAGGUUCUCUGGCAGGCUAUUCCAGAGGCUGGGGUCAUAAUAACUAAAGGCUGUCUCUCCAUGCCUCUUGGUCCCCCUCAGGUUCUCUGGCAGGCUAUUCCAGAGGCUGGGGUCAUAAUAACUAAAGGCUGUCUCUCCAUGCCUCUUGGUCCCCCUCAGGUUCUCUGGCAGGCUAUUCCAGAGGCUGGGGUCAUAAUAACUAAAGGCUGUCUCUCCAUGCCUCUUGGUCCCCCUCAGGUUCUCUGGCAGGCUAUUCCACAGGCUGGGGUCAUAAUAACUAAAGGCUGUCUCUCCAUGCCUCUUGGUCCCCCUCAGGUUCUCUGGCAGGCUAUUCCAGAGGCUGGGGUCAUAAUAACUAAAGGCUGUCUCUCCAUGCCUCUUGGUCCCCCUCAGGUUCUCUGGCAGGCUAUUCCACAGGCUGGGGUCAUAAUAACUAAAGGCUGUCUCUCCAUGCCUCUUGGUCCCCCUCAGGUUCUCUGGCAGGCUAUUCCACAGGCUGGGGUCAUAAUAACUAAAGGC